rnacentral:rRNA from 1 species
AGCGGUAAUACUAAUGCAUAUGGUGAAUGCCUUGACUCAUACUAGCGAUGAAGGGCGUAGCAGUCUGCGAUAAGCUUCGGGGAGGUGACUAGCAACCUUUGAUCCGGAGAUUUCCGAAUGGGAUAACCCUCCCCGCCUCGGCGGGGAAACAUUAUCUGAAUUCAUAGGAUAAUGUGGCAUACCCGGCGAACUGAAACAUCUUAUUAGCCGGAGGAAAAGAAAUCAAUUGAGAUUCCCCAAGUAGUGGCGAGCGAACGGGGAAUAGUCUAAACCAUCUCGAUUUAUCGAGAUGGGGUUGCGAGGUAAUUUUACUCGUUUAAUCGGGGUAGAAUUAUAUUUAUUAACAAAACGUCUCUGGAAAGAGCGGCCAUAGAAAGUGAAAGCCUUGUAUGUGAAAAUAUAAUAUAAUCUACGUAAUUAUUCUCAAGUAGGGCGGGACCGGUGAAAUCCCGUCUGAAUCCGGGGCCACUAUAGCUCCAAGACUAAAUAUAGUAUGAGAUCGAUAGCGAACGAGUACCGUGAGGGAAAGGUGAAAAGUAUCCCGAUGAGGGAGAUGAAAUAGUAUCUGAAACCAUAUGCUAACAAAGAGUCAGAGUCCUGGCGCAAGUCGGGAUGAUGGCGUGCUUUUUGUAGAACGAUCCAGCGAGUUAGUUCUAUGUCGUUGACUAAGCAACUUUAUGUUGCGGAGUCGUAGUGAAAGCGAGCCUGAAAGGGCGAACUUAAAUGGCAUGGACUAGACCCGAAGCCAGGUGAGCUAUUUAUGAGCAGGGUGAAUUUGCUGUAAAAGGCAAAGGAGGCCCGAACCCACGCACCGUGCAACAUGCGGGGAUGACUUGUGAAUAGAGGAGAAAUUCCAAUCGAACUUGGCGAUAGCUGGUUCUUCCCGAAAUAGCUUGAGGGCUAGCGUUUGAAAACUAUGCUUUGGAGGUAGAGCUACUGAAUGAGAAUUCGCGGUUCGCCGUAGGGUUCUCAACCAAACUCCGAAUUCCAAAGUAAUUAUUCAAGCAGUCAGAACUCCGGGGCUAAGCUCGGAGCUCAAAAGGGAAAAAGCCCAUGAUCGCAAUCUAAGGUCCCAAAAUUUAUGUUAAGUGGUAAAGGAAGUAAAGUUUCUUAUACACCUAGGAGGUUGGCUCAGAAGCAGCCAUCCUUUAAAGAGUGCGUAACAGCUCACUAGUCUAGAGACUUUGCGCCGAAAAUUCAACGGGGCUCAAACAUAAUACCGAAGAUGCGGAUGUCCGUGUUUCACUAACGUUCAACACGGAAUUUGAAAUUUGAAAUUUGAAAUUUGAAACGAAUUUUUAAUGUCUAAAUUUAAAAUUUAUUCAUUGGAAUUUUAUUAAAAAUUAAAAAUUAAAAAUUAAAAAUUCCUCGUGGUGAGCGAUAGCGAAACACGGGCGUGGUAGGGAAGCGUUCCAUAAGCGCUGAAGGUCGAGCGUGAGCAAGGCUGGAGUUUAUGGAAGUGAGAAUGCUGGAACGAGUAACCGCAAUUGGGGUGAGAACCCCCAACACCGAAAGUCUAAGGUUUCCUGGGCAAUGUCAAUCAACUCAGGGUUAGUCGGGCCUAAGGCGAGGCCGAAAGGCGUAGUCGAUGGACACACGGUUAAUAUUCCGAGACUUUCGUGUUAUUUGAUGGAGGGACGCAUCGCUGUACUUUCUGCGAGUAAUUGGAUUCACGUAGGAGUGUUGAGAACGCAUAGUAGGAAAAUCCGCUGUGCAAUAGUUCAAAAUACUUCUCGAAUUCUGCUUUACGGCAGGAGAAGAGAAAGGAGCGCGGUGCCUGGAAAAACUUCUAAAAUUAGUAACACGAAAACCGUACUAAAACCGACACAGGUAGACUGGGCGAGUAGCCUAAGGUGAACGAGUGAACCUUCGUUAAGGAACUCGGCAAAAUAGCGUCCGUAACCUAGGGAUAUGGACUCCCCGAUGCAAAUCGGGGCGCAGCGAAAGAUACCAAGCGACUGUUUACCAAAAACACAGGUCUCUGCAAACCCGUAAGGGGAUGUAUAGGGGCUGACGCCUGACCAGUGCUGGAACGUUAACGGGAGCGGUGCAAGCCAAUCCCCGAAGCGCCAGUGAACGUCAGCGAUAACUAUAAUCGUUCUAAGUAUGGAAGAUUAUUUGGUAAAUAAUGAAAAGCUGCCUCAUUCUGUAGUAAUGCAGAAUUGGUUUUAAUAAAAUACAUGGCUAUAUGCUGGGAAGCUCUAUUUUUAAUAGAGUAAUCAGCAGGGAAGUCGCUUUGUUGGCGACCCCUCAGAUACCACACGCCGUGCUCCAUAAUUUUUUAUGGAUGAAGAUAUGGUACAUCAUUGAGGAAUGGAUCAGCGAAAUUCCUUGACAGGUAAAUUCUGUCCCGCAUUAAAGGCGUAACGACUUGGUAACUGUCUUAACGAAGAGCUCGGUGAAAUUGCAAUGACGGUAAAGAUGCCGUCGACCUGCAGCAAGACGAAAAGACCCCGUGGAGCUUUACUACAACUUGGUAUUGAAUUUGAGAUUGUGCUGCCUAGUAUAGGUGGGAGACUUUGAAGUCCUGACUCUGGUUAGGAUGGAGUCAAAAUAUGUAAUACCACUCUGUAUAGUUUUAAAUUCUAACCCUGGGCUGUUAUGAGUCACAAAAGACUUAUGAUUUUGAGCCGUUAAAUAGGAUAUUAUUUAAAAGAGGAUUAGAUUAGACGAAGUUGUAAUUAUCGUAUUUACGGUUCAUAAAUUUGUAAGUCGUUUUGGUUAUUCAUACCAGUCCGGGGACAGUGCCUGGCGGGUAGUUUGACUGGGGCGGUCGCCUCCUAAAUGGCAACGGAGGCGUUUACAAAGGUUGGCUAGACUCGGAUGGAAAUCGAGUCGAUAGUGCAAAAGCAUAAGCCAGCUUUACUGCGAGACUUAUUAGUCGAUCAGUUACGAAAGUAGAAUUUAGUGAACCGACUGUCGCAAAUAGAUGCGCAGAAGAUCAUCAGAUAAAAGUUACCCCGGGGAUAACAGGCUGAUCCCAUCCAAGAGUCCAUAUCGACGAUGGGGUUUGGCACCUCGAUGUCGGCUCAUCGCAUCCUGGGGCUGGAGAAGGUCCCAAGGGUUUGGCUGUUCGCCAAUUAAAGCGGUACGUGAGCUGGGUUCAAACCGUCGUGAGACAGGUUGGUCUCCUAUCUGCUGUAGGCGUUAUUGCUUGAGAGGACUUUUUCCUAGUACGAGAGGACCGGAAAGAACAAACCUCUGGUGUACCAGCUGUUCCGCCAGGAGCACUGCUGGGUAGCUACGUUUGGACGGGAUAACCGCUGAAAGCAUAUAAGCGGGAAGCCCACCUCAAGAUUAGGCAAUCCCCGACGCAAGUCGGGGCGAUUUCCUGGAAGAUGACCAGGUUGAUAGGUCUCAGGUGAAAGCAGAGCGAUCUGUUAAGCCAAGAGAUACUAAUAAAUUGAACUUUAUCUCUCU